GAUGAACGCUGGCGGCGUGCCUAAUACAUGCAAGUCGAGCGAACAGACGAGGAGCUUGCUCCUCUGACGUUAGCGGCGGACGGGUGAGUAACACGUGGAUAACCUACCUAUAAGACUGGGAUAACUUCGGGAAACCGGAGCUAAUACCGGAUAAUAUAUUGAACCGCAUGGUUCAAUAGUGAAAGACGGUUUUGCUGUCACUUAUAGAUGGAUCCGCGCCGCAUUAGCUAGUUGGUAAGGUAACGGCUUACUAAGGCAACGAUGCGUAGCCGACCUGAGAGGGUGAUCGGCCACACUGGGACUGAGACACGGUCCAGACUCCUACGGGAGGCAGCAGUAGGGAAUCUUCCGCAAUGGGCGAAAGCCUGACGGAGCAACGCCGCGUGAGUGAUGAAGGUCUUCGGAUCGUAAAACUCUGUUAUUAGGGAAGAACAAAUGUGUAAGUAACUAUGCACGUCUUGACGGUACCUAAUCAGAAAGCCACGGCUAACUACGUG
rnacentral:rRNA from 1 species